rnacentral:tRNA from 1 species
GCACUAGUGGUUCAGAGGUAGAAUUCCCACCUUUCAUGAGGGAGACACGGGUUUGAUUCCCAGCCAAUGCA